rnacentral:rRNA from 1 species
UACGAAGGGGGCUAGCGUUGCUCGGAAUUACUGGGCGUAAAGGGAGCGUAGGCGGAUAGUUUAGUCAGAGGUGAAAGCCCAGGGCUCAACCUUGGAAUUGCCUUUGAUGCUGGCUAUCUUGAGUACGGAAGAGGUAUGUGGAACUCCGAGUGUAGAGGUGAAAUUCGUAGAUAUUCGGAAGAACACCAGUGGCGAAGGCGACAUACUGGUCCGUUACUGACGCUGAGGCUCGAAAGCGUGGGGAGCAAACAGG